rnacentral:rRNA from 1 species
GACGAGCCUGACAAACGUUAUUCGGAAUCACUGGGCUUAAAGGGUGCGUAGGCGGCGCGGAGGGUGGGAUGUGAAAUACCCCGGCUCAACCGAGGAAUUGCGUCCCAAACCGCCGUGCUCGAGGAAGAUAGAGGUGAGCGGAACAGAUGGUGAAGCGGUGAAAUGCGUUGAUAUCAUCUGGAACACCCGUGGCGAAAGCGGCUCACUGGGUCUUCUCUGACGCUGAGGCACGAAAGCUAGGGUAGCGAACGGG